CCUACGGGAGGCAACAGUGGGGAAUAUUGCACAAUGGGCGAAAGCCUGAUGCAGCAACGCCGCAUGAGCGAUGAAGGCCUUCGGGUCGUAAAGCUCUGUCCUCAAGGAAGAUAAUGACGGUACUUGAGGAGGAAGCCCGGGCUAAUUACGUGCCAGCAGCCGCGGUAAUACGUAGGGGGCGAGCGUUAUCGGGAAUUACUGGGUGUAAAGGGUGCGUAGGUGGUUUUUUAAGUCAGAGGUGAAAGGCUACGGCUCAACCGUAGUAAGCCUUUGAAACUGGGAAACUUGAGUGCGGGAGAGGAGAGUGGAAUUCCUAGUGUAGCGGUGAAAUGCGUAGAUAUUAGGAGGAACACCAGUUGCGAGGGCGGCUCUCUGGACUGUAACUGACAGUGAGGCACGAAAG
rnacentral:rRNA from 1 species